GACGAACGCUGGCGGCGUGCUUAACACAUGCAAGUCGAGCGAUGAACCUUUCAUGAAUUUUUCGGAAUGAUUGGAAGAGGAUUAGCGGCGGACGGGUGAGUAACGCGUGAGCAACCUACCUUAAACAACGGAUAGCCUCGGGAAACCGGGAUUAAUACCGUAUGAGACCCCGCCUUCACAUGAAGAAGAGGUUAAAGAUUUAUCGGUUUAAGAUGGGCUCGCGUCUGAUUAGCUAGUUGGUGAGAUAAAAGCCCACCAAGGCAACGAUCAGUAACCGGCUUGAGAGAGUGAACGGUCACAUUGGAACUGAGACACGGUCCAAACUCCUACGGGAGGCAGCAGUGGGGAAUAUUGCACAAUGGGGGAAACCCUGAUGCAGCGACGCCGCGUGAGCGAUGAAGGAAUUCGUUUCGUAAAGCUCUGUCCAAGGGGAGGAUAAUGACAGUACCCUUGGAGGAAGCCCCGGCUAAAUACGUGCCAGCAGCCGCCGUAA
rnacentral:rRNA from 1 species